CACCUAGUAUCGGGUCAUUGUUUCUGUUGUUCCUUUCUGUUUUUGCUGUCACCGCUUUUGUUAGUGUUUGUGCCUUCCUGCUUUGGAUAUUUUUUUUUCUAUUGCUUUCACUUUGUUUUUGCGUCUGCCAUGGGUUUUGGUUUGUUACUUUGGAUCCUUGUUUUUUUUCAGGAGUUUGUUCUGAGUUUAGUUUUCUCAGUGUUUUAAUACAGUUUGUCAAGUUCACCCUGUUCCUUCCUCCCCCCGGCCUGCCUUUUGGGGGUCCUCCACCACACCGUUCGUGACACAUUGGAAGUCAAAAGAAUGACUCUCCAUGGUAACCCGGCAUCAUUUUCCCAAACAGACACGCAAGGACUUGAAAUGCCAUGAAAUAGACAAGAACAGAGAGCGUAAAGGUGAACUCACCACAGUGCAGCAGAGGGGCCAGAACCACCAUAGGAGAGCCAAAAUGAGCAGCAGCAUCAGGAUGAGCAGAGUAAUGGCCAAAAUGGUCC